GACGAACGCUGGCGGCGUGCUUAACACAUGCAAGUCGAACGGAAAGGCCCUGCUUUUGUGGGGUGCUCGAGUGGCGAACGGGUGAGUAACACGUGAGUAACCUGCCCUUGACUUUGGGAUAACUUCAGGAAACUGGGGCUAAUACCGGAUAGGAGCUCCUGCUGCAUGGUGGGGGUUGGAAAGUUUCGGCGGUUGGGGAUGGACUCGCGGCUUAUCAGCUUGUUGGUGGGGUAGUGGCUUACCAAGGCUUUGACGGGUAGCCGGCCUGAGAGGGUGACCGGCCACAUUGGGACUGAGAUACGGCCCAGACUCCUACGGGAGGCAGCAGUGGGGAAUAUUGAACAAUGGGCGGAGGCCUGAUGCAGCAACGCCGCGUGCGGGAUGACGGCCUUCGGGUUGUAAACCGCUUUCGCCUGUGACGAAGCGUGAGUGACGGUAAUGGGUAAAGAAGCACCGGCUAACUACGUG
rnacentral:rRNA from 1 species